rnacentral:lncRNA from 1 species
ACUGGCCAGGGAGCCGCUACGCAGAUGUUUUCGCCUCUGCGGGUGUAGGCUCCGGGUCGGGCUUCCGGGUCCCUUUCCUGGCUCUGGCGCCUUCCAGCUGUGUGACCGGGCGAGGCCCUGAGCCUCUUGAGGGUUCAGUGCCCUCCUCCGUACAAUGGGCCAACAACAGCCCCUUCCCUGGGGAUCUCGGUGAGGGUUGGUUGCUCUGCAGGGUGCCCUGGGCCUGUGCCAGCGCGCUCAGGCAUCCUGGUGACCAACCACAGCUGGCACUGGUGAACGCAGCCUCUUAGCCCAGGCAGGCUCUGGUCAGCCUCACCUGCUGGGACCGCUGAGUGGUCCAAGAGCUGGCUUGGCUGACUGGGACCUGGGCCUCAGCUUCCCCAUCUGUGCAGGGGGCCGCUGGUGAUACCGGUCCCUGCCAUGCCCUGGUGGAGAUAUGGCCCAGUGAGACUUCGUGAGGGGUCUAGGCCACUGCUGUCACGUGGUCCUCCUGCUCCACCACAGGCCAUCUCCCUGGGCCUCAUCCAGACAGCUGGACACUGAGCACAGCUCUGUUGUCCUCUUCCCUGGGCUGAGUGGACUCAGAGGUGCUGGGGACUGCAUGGCCGCCGGACGAGGCGGGGGCUUUCCAACCCAACACCACCGAGCCUGCCUCUUCCUGCCCUGGAUGCUAUGUCUUCCAUAGAGCCGCUUUUCCAACACAGCAGGUAUGAAGUAUCCACCGGCCAUCUGAAAAUAAUGCAGUAACUAAGAAAAACAGUGGCGAGAGGAAGGAGUGUCGAUGCCCCAAAUGGAUCAUCUUCCAGAGCACGUCUACACCGAGAUCAAGAAUGAAAAGGUGGGAGCAGAUUUAAGGCUCUUGGGCAGCUCUGCGGCCUGCUGUGUUGAGUGUCCUGGUGAGCAAAUCUCUCAGGUCUGGGUGGUCAGGCUGGCUGUGGCGGCGGCCAAGGCAAGACAGAUGGGUAUUGUUGGGCCCUCCUGGACACACUGCAGCCUUGGGACACAGGCAGGUGCUGGCUACAGUCAAGUGGCCUCUUGUCCUUGCUGCGUCUGACCCCCCAUCCAGCCUGUGAGCCCUACCUUCCUCUUGGGGCUAAGCAGCUGGAGGCUAGGCUUCCCUCUCAGGGCCUCAGACAGUGCAAGCCAGAGGCGUGGGCAGCUGACCAGGCUAGGAGCACUCCUGGGCCACCUGGGCUCCCAGCAGGGUGGGGGGCUUGUGCCUCUGCCCACGCUGCAGCCACGUGGGCUCCUCUCCUAUUCGCUGGGAGCUGGAGCAAAGCAUCAGGCUCUGUGCCCUGCAAGCCCAGAAAUGCCUGUGGGCACUGGGGCCUGCCUGCUGGCGGAGGCUGAGCUGACUCCAGGAGCCCUGGGGGUGGGUCCCGAGCUCCGUGUGGAGGUGCACAGGCUUGACGGCCACGUGAGAACCCAGAUGCUGCGGUGCUUGCUGGGAAACUCCGGGAAAGGCUCUACAUGGCCUUUGUCUGACUUGUCUGGGUAAUUAGGGAAAACGUCUUCCGGUGGGUUUUUGUUUCCCUGAAGUUUCUGGUGAUUGAGCUCCUGGGAAGUGAGGCUGGUUUUUGCUUGGCUACCUCAGGGCCUCAGCAAAGCCUGGAGGGGCUUGGCGGCUGGUGGAAAGGGGCCUUUUAAGCCGCUUCCUCUGGGA